CCUACGGGUGGCUGCAGUGGGGAAUAUUGGACAAUGGGGGGAACCCUGAUCCAGCCAUGCCGCGUGUGUGAAGAAGGCCCUCGGGUUGUAAAGCACUUUCAGUGAGGAAGAACGCCUGGUGGUUAAUACCCAUCAGGAAAGACAUCACUCACAGAAGAAGCACCGGCUAACUCCGUGCCAGCAGCCGCGGUAAUACGGAGGGUGCGAGCGUUAAUCGGAAUUACUGGGCGUAAAGCGCGCGUAGGUGGCUUGAUAAGCCGGUUGUGAAAGCCCCGGGCUCAACCUGGGAACGGCAUCCGGAACUGUCAAGCUAGAGUGCAGGAGAGGAAGGUAGAAUUCCCUGUGUAGCGGUGAAAUGCGUAGAGAUCGGGAGGAAUACCAGUGGCGAAGGCGGCCUUCUGGACUGACACUGACGCUGAGGUGCGAAAGCGUGGGUAGCGAACAGGAUUAGAUACCCUAGUAGUC
rnacentral:rRNA from 1 species